AAACCUUUCACAGUCAAUACAUCCUGGACCGUGGAAAGAGACGACUGGUUUAGAAAAAGAGGCAACUGUAUGGGAAUGACUGUGGCAUCUUCAUGUUGAUGUAUGCCCUUUACACCAUACUAGAUGCACCCUGUGAUUUCACUAUUAUUGACAUGCCAGCUUUGCGAAAAUGGUGGUGUGUCAUGCUAAUGGAGAAUUUCGAAUACGGAAG